rnacentral:rRNA from 1 species
GGCAGGUACUGCAUGACAGUCAUGACAUAUGGAUUCCCUCAGUAGCAUGCGAGCGAACAGGGAAGAGCCCAGCACCGAAUCCCGCGGCCGAUACCGGGCGCCGGGAAAUGUGGUGUUAGGGAGGAUCCGUUUAUCCCGAGGUCGUACGGCGCGUCCAAGUCCUUCUUGAACGGGGCCACAGCCCAUAGAGGGUGCCAGGCCCGUAGCGACCGCUGUCGAUCGCGGGAGGAUCUCUCCUCAGAGUCGGGUUGCUUGAGAGUGCAGCCCUAAGUGGGUGGUAAACUCCAUCUAAGGCUAAAUAUGACCACGAGACCGAUAGCGAACAAGUACCGUGAGGGAAAGUUGAAAAGCACUUUGAAGAGAGAGUUCAAGAGUACGUGAAACCGUUCAGGGGUAAACCUGAGAAACCCGAAAGGUCGAAAGGGGAAAUUCAUUCGCGUUUCGGCCGUCGGCGUCGGAUGGUCGAGUGACGGAUGGCGUACGCGUCGUCCGCGCCUUCCUUCCUUCGAACCGGCGUCGAACGCGUGCACUUUUCCCCUAGUAGGACGUCGCGAUCCGUUGGGUGUCGGUCUAAGGCCUGCGGUGGAGCCCGUGCGGACGUUUCGGCGUUCGCUCGGACCCGCGGUGUCCCGGCCGACUCGCUCGACGGUAUACAGAUGGCGCGGGGCCGCUACACAGUUAGCGUUCGGCCUGCGGCAAGCGCGUUCGGCGUUUGACGGCGAUCGGACCUGGUGCCGGUCCUGUCCCCGAACGACUGUUGGCCGUGGUGUUCUCGAACAGACCUCGAAUUUGAAACGCCGAUCUGCGACGCUAUAGCUUUGGGUACUUUCAGGACCCGUCUUGAACACCCG